GUCGAGCCUAGGGCGGCCACCCGAAAAACCGGACACCUUCACCGGCUGGCUCGGCGUUCUUCGUGAAGG
rnacentral:ncRNA from 1 species